CUGGUAAGGCGUGUGCGGCCCGUCCCGGCAGGCUCCGGAUGAAAAUUGGGGGCAGAUGAGAGGGGAGGAGGGGCCGUGGCCUAGCAGUCUCUGGGCAGCAACACACCCUUAGCUGUGGUCGAUGAAAGCAGGGCUCACCGGCUUGGGGGCGGGGGGGAAAAAUUGGCACUUGUUCCCUGCCCGAAUGCAAACUGCUCCCUACCGGCACUGUACUAGCUCCUCCCAGUUGCCUCCAGGAGUCCCGGCAGCAUCCAGGCCACGUCUUGGGACCCGCCUGAGGAGCCUCACUCCAAUCGCCAAGGUGCCCUGGCUCGGAGAUCCCAUCUCCACCCUCUCGACCGGGCUAUUAGAGGUCCAGGCUGGAUUGAGGCUCACGUUGCUGGGCUUCAGAAGGACAGCAGAUCACCGCGUCCAUCAAGAACAGGAUUGGGAGAGGGCGGCCGGGAGCAUGUACUGUUUUGCCUUCCUCCUCCUUACCCUGGGAGCUCCAUGAGGGAAGAGGACUGUGUCGGAUAUUCAUUCAAUCACAUUUAUUGAGCGCUUACUGUGUGCAAAGCACUCGACUCAGUGCUUGGGAGGUAUGGUAUAACAACAAACAGACACAUUCCUGCCCACAACGAACUCACAGUCUAAAGGACAAUACUUUACCUAGCCCAGUGCUUGGCAAAUAGUAAACAUUUAACAAAUACCACAAUUAUUAUUAUUUCUCAAAUGUUUCCAGAGAAAAAAGCCCUGAGGUGCCUGAAGUGAGCAGAAAUGAGAGUGCUUCUUCUCUCGGUCUCUCAGAAACAACUCACUUGAGUGUAAGCUUCUCAAGGGCAGGGAGCGUAUGUACUGACUCUACUAUUCCAUUCUAAUCAAGCGCUUGGCACCGAAUAGGUGCUCAAUAAAUACUAUUGAUUAAACACUAUUGAUUAACAGAUGCAACGCCAGCAUCAUGAGGCUAGUUAUGCCUCGAGCUGCUUAGAAUCAGGCCAGACUCCAUUUUUGAGCCUCUUCUGCCCAAACCAGGCUGUAGCUGAUUGGGUCACUGUGGUCUGUGGGGCUUGUGGAGAUGGUGACAAUAAUAACAAUAAUUCUGAUAUUUGUUAAGCAGUUACAAGCACUGCCAAGCAUUACACUAAGCUCUGGAGUAAAUGCAAGCCAAUUAAGUCAGACACAGUCUCUAGCCAACAUGGGGCUCAGGCUGAGGGGGAGUGAGAACAGGUAUUUAAUCCCCAUUUUACAGAUGGGGAAAUGGAGGUACAGAAAAGUGAAGUGACUUGCCCAGGUUCAUAGAGCAGGCAAGUGCAGAAUCAGGAUCAGAACCCAGAGCCUUCUGACUCCGAGGACCGUGCCGCUAGGUAAUACUGCUUCCUGAGCCGGGUCCACCCAGCAGGCAGGGGAGGAUGGGGCAUGAGGGUUGGAACUGGAGUCAGACCCAGCAGAUUCCCUCUCCCUCCUCGAUGAUGGUACAGACGUACUGGGUCAUUCUGGGACAGUCAUCAAUGACCUUCUCCAAGAGUACUUUAUCUGCGCAACUGCCCCACUGAACUCAGAAGAGCCUCCCCUGGCCUCCCGCCCCUUGUCUAUCCAGACAGGCUGGAGUGACCAGAAAAUAGCUGGGGAAGGGUGAACACACAGGGGAGCCCGAGAGACGACAGGAUAGGAGCUGA
rnacentral:lncRNA from 1 species